AGGUGGAGCUAUAGCUACAGUUAUGGCUGGUCAUGAAUACUGGGGCAUACCAGGAUGGCGCUUUUCCUUCAUCGUGAUGGCAACUUUGAGUUGUUUCAUAGGAUUUCUUGUCUUCUCUUUUGUCGUUGACCCAAGGAAGAAAAGCAGUGGCCAGCAUGAUAUUUCAAAACAGUCUGACAGGGAUGAAUUGAUAGAGAAAGGACACUCAAAUAUCAAUACAGUGUCAAUUUGGAUGGAGUCCUGGACAGCCAUGAGAACUGUCAUCAAACUCCAAACGUUUCAGUUCAUUGUUUUGCAGGGUCUUGUAGGAUCCCUACCUUGGACAGCCAUUGUUUUCUUUACAUUAUGGUUUGAAUUAAUCGGUUUUGAUCAUAAUAGUGCAGCCACACUUGUCGGUCUAUUUGCUGCUGGAUGCGCAUUAGGAUCCUUCUUUGGUGGAGUAGUUGCAGACAAAAUGUCUCGAAUAUACCCCCAUACAGGACGUGUCAUGUGUGCUCAAUUUAGUUCUUUUAUGGGCAUCCCAUUCUCAUGGUUCCUUCUUCAAAUUGUCCCUCAGUCUGUGAGUAGCUACUACACACUUGCUGUGACAUAAGCUGAUGGGGCUAACAAUAAGCUGGAAUUCUACUGCUUCAAAUGGUCCCAUGUUUGCAGAAGUUGUGCCAAGCAACAUAGGGACACCAUGAUCGCUAUAGAAUAUGAAAAUAUGAUCGUUUGGACCACUAUUCACCACCUUGCCGACACCUAGCAAGAGCAGUCCUGUUCCCAAGGAGAACAGCUAAAAAGUUG
rnacentral:misc_RNA from 1 species